rnacentral:rRNA from 1 species
GACGAACGCUGGCGGCGUGCUUAACACAUGCAAGUCGAACGGAAAGGCCCUGAUUUUGUGGGGUGCUCGAGUGGCGAACGGGUGAGUAACACGCGAGUAAACUGCACUUGUCAUUGGGAUAAAAUCAGGAAACAGGGGCUAAUACAGGAUAGGAGAUCCUGCUGCACGGUGGGGGUUGGAAAGUUUCGGCGGUUGGGGAUGGACUCGCGGCUUAUCAGCUUGUUGGUGGGGUAGUGGCUUACCAAGGCUAUGACGGGUAGCCGGCCUGAGAGGGUGACCGGCCACAUGGGUACUGAGGUACGGCCCAGACUCCUACGGUAGGCAGCAGUGGGGAAUAUGGCACAAUGGGCGGAAGCCUGUUGCAGCAACGCCGCGUGCGUGAUGACGUCCUUCGGGUUGUAAACCGCUUUCGCCUGUGACGAAGCGUGAGUGACGGUAAUGGGUAAAGAAGCACCGGCUAACUACGUG